AAUGAACGCUGGCGGUAGGCUUAACACAUGCAAGUCGGACGGAAACGAUAGAAAAACUUGUUUUUCUAGGCGUCGAGUGGCGGACGGGUGAGUAAUGCGUGGGAAUCUACCCUAUAGUUGGGGACAACGUAUGGAAACGUACGCUAAUACCGAAUAUGCUCUACGGAGUAAAGGUGCCCUCUCCUUGGAAGGUAUCGCUAUAGGAUGAGCCCGCGUGAGAUUAGCUAGUUGGUGGGGUAAUGGCUCACCAAGGCGACGAUCUCUAGCUGGUUUGAGAGGAUGAUCAGCCACACUGGGACUGAGACACGGCCCAGACUCCUACGGGAGGCAGCAGUGGGGAAUAUUGCACAAUGAGCGAAAGCUUGAUGCAGCCAUACCGCGUGUGUGAAGAAGGCCCGAGGGUUGUAAAGCACUUUCAAUUGGGAGGAAGGUUAAGUAGUUAAUACCUGCUUAAUUUGACGUUACCUUUAGAAGAAGCACCGGCUAACUCUGU
rnacentral:rRNA from 1 species